rnacentral:lncRNA from 1 species
CUCUUUCAUCUUCCCAUCAUGGCCGCCGCCUGUGCGCCUCUGCUGAGUCAUUAGAAUUACUUGUUAUUGGUAAAUAGCCACUAUGGAGACUAAGGACCAGAAGAAACAAAGAAAGAAAAAUAGUGGACCCAAAGCUGCAAAGAAAAAGAAGCGGCAUCUGCAGGAUCUCCAGCUAGGAGACGAAGAAGAUGCCUGGAAGAGAAAUCCCAAAGCUUUUGCAUUUCAGUCUGCUGUGUGGAUGGCUCGAUCCUUUCACAGGACUCAGGAUUUGAAGACAAAAAAGCAUCAUAUUCCAGUGGUUGAUCGAACUCCACUAGAGCCCCCACCAAUAGUGGUAGUGGUGAUGGGGCCUCCAAAGUUGGAAAGAGCACUUUGAUACAAUGCCUCAUUCGGAACUUCACCCGGCAGAAGUUGACCGAGAUCAGAGGCCCUGUGAUGAUCGUGUCAGGUAAAAAGCUCCGACUCACCAUUAUUGAAUGUGGGUGUGACAUUAACAUGAUGAUUGAUCUGGCUGAAGUAGCAGAUCUGGUUGCCAAGCUGUUCUGCCUUUCUGGAAUGGUGCAUGGAGAAUAUCAAAACCAAGAAAUGCACAAUCUGGGCCAUUUUAUUACAGUUAUGAAGUUUAGGCCUCUCACAUGGCAGACUUCUCAUCCUUAUAUCCUGGCAGACAGGGUGGAAGAUUUGACAAACCCAGAGGAUAUCCAAACAAACAUCAGAUGUGACCAGCAGAUGUUACUUUACGGUUAUUUAAGAGGAGCGCACUUGAAAAAUAAAAGCCAAAUUCACAUGCCAGGACGAGGUGGGGCCCACCCAUGAGCUGGUCCAGAGUCUCAUCUCCACCCACUCCACCAUUGAUGCCAAGAUGGCUUCAAGUCGAGUGAUGUUGUUUUCUGAUUCCAAGCCACUUGGGUCAGAGGCUAUAGAUAAUCAAGGGGACGAGUUCUCACUAUGUUGCCCAGGCUGGCCUCGAACUCCUGGGCUCAAGCAAUCCUCCUGCGUUGGCCUCCCAAAGUCCUGGGAUUACAGGUGUAAGCCACUACGGCUGGCCUAUUAUUGCUGUAUUCUAACUUAUUCAUCUCCUAUGUGUCAGAGAUGGCUUUGGAUUCCCCGUUCUGUGUGCUGCUGUCUGGCUCCUGAACCCAGCUGUAGAGGUGUGUCAAUCCCAACUGGUGAAGUACUGAGAGGAAGCUACACAAAAGGCAGCAAAGUAUUAGUGAGUGGUGUCAUUGAGCAAACACGAAGUCGGGCUCAUCCAAGGAUGAGAUUUUGCCAGAGAAAGGACGAGCAGCAAGUCAGGGAGCUUAAGCGUCAGCCUCGAGUUUGACCAGCAACAGGGGUCGGUGUGUCCCUCUGAAUCUGAGAUCUAUGAGGCAGGAGCUGGGGACAGGAUGGCAGGAGCGCCCAUGGCUGCUGCUGUGCAGCCUGCUGAGGUGACCGUUGAAGUUGGUGAGGACCUCCACAUGCACCACAUUCGUGACCAGGAGAUGCCUGAAGCUUUGGAGUUUAGCCUUUCUGCCAAUCCAGAGGCAAGCACAAUAUUCCAGAGGAACUCUCAAACAGAUGCUUUGGAGUUUAACCCUUCUGCCAAUCCAGAGGCAAGCACAAUAUUCCAGAGGAACUCUCAAACAGAUGUUGUAGAAAUAAGAAGAAGCAACUGUACAAACCAUGUAUCUACUGAGCGUUUCAGUCAACAAUACAGCUCGUGUUCGACAAUAUUCCUUGAUGACAGCACAGCCAGCCAGCAUUAUCUUACAAUGACAAUAAUAUCUGUGACCUUGGAGAUACCUCAUCAUAUCACACAAAGAGAUGCAGAUAGAUCUUUGAGCAUACCUGAUGAACAGUUACACUCAUUUGCGGUUUCCACCGUGCACAUUACGAAGAACAGAAAUGGAGGUGGGAGUUUAAAUAACUAUUCCUCCUCCAUUCCAUCGACUCCCAGCACCAGCCAGGAGGACCCUCAGUUCAGUGUUCCUCCCACUGCCAACACACCCACCCCCGUUUGCAAGCGGUCCAUGCGCUGGUCCAACCUGUUUACAUCUGAGAAAGGGAGUCACCCAGACAAAGAGAGGAAAGCCCCGGAGAAUCAUGCUGACACCAUCGGGAGCGGCAGAGCCAUCCCCAUUAAACAGGGCAUGCUCUUAAAGCGAAGUGGGAAAUGGCUGAAGACAUGGAAAAAGAAAUACGUCACCCUGUGUUCCAAUGGCGUGCUCACCUAUUAUUCAAGCUUAGGUGAUUAUAUGAAGAAUAUUCAUAAAAAAGAGAUUGACCUUCGGACAUCUACCAUCAAAGUCCCAGGAAAGUGGCCAUCCCUAGCCACAUCGGCCUGUGCACCCAUCUCCAGCUCUAAAAGCAAUGGCCUAUCCAAGGACAUGGACACCGGGCUGGGUGACUCCAUAUGCUUCAGCCCCAGUAUCUCCAGCACCACCAGCCCCAAGCUCAACCCGCCCCCCUCUCCUCAUGCCAAUAAAAAGAAACACCUAAAGAAGAAAAGCACCAACAACUUUAUGAUUGUGUCUGCCACUGGCCAAACAUGGCACUUUGAAGCCACGACGUAUGAGGAGCGGGAUGCCUGGGUCCAAGCCAUCCAGAGCCAGAUCCUGGCCAGCCUGCAGUCAUGCGAGAGCAGUAAAAGCAAGUCCCAGCUGACCAGCCAGAGCGAGGCCAUGGCCCUGCAGUCGAUCCAAAACAUGCGUGGGAACGCCCACUGUGUGGACUAUGAGACCCAGAAUCCUAAGUGGGCCAGUUUGAACUUGGGAGUCCUCAUGUGUAUUGAAUGCUCAGGAAUCCACCGCAGUCUUGGCACCCGCCUUUCCCGUGUGCGAUCUCUGGAGCUGGAUGACUGGCCAGUUGAGCUCAGGAAGGUUAUGUCAUCUAUUGGCAAUGACCUAGCCAACAGCAUCUGGGAAGGGAGCAGCCAGGGGCAGACAAAACCCUCAGUAAAGUCCACGAGGGAAGAGAAGGAACGGUGGAUCCGUUCCAAAUAUGAGGAGAAGCUCUUUCUGGCCCCACUACCCUGCACUGAGCUGUCCCUGGGCCAGCACCUGCUGCGGGCCACCGCUGAUGAGGACCUGCAGACAGCCAUCCUGCUGCUGGCACAUGGCUCCCGUGAGGAGGUGAACGAGACCUGUGGGGAGGGAGACGGCUGCACGGCGCUCCAUCUGGCCUGCCGCAAGGGGAAUGUGGUCCUGGCACAGCUCCUGAUCUGGUACGGGGUGGACGUCAUGGCCCGAGAUGCCCACGGGAACACAGCGCUGACCUACGCCCGGCAGGCCUCCAGCCAGGAGUGCAUCAACGUGCUUCUGCAGUACGGCUGCCCCGACGAGUGCGUGUAGUAUCUGUUUUAUUUGACUGCAGUCUCCUUGGUGCAAAAACAAAAUGGGAAAAAUAAGGAUAACUCAGAAUUUCAAAAGGAAAUCACAAAUUCAGCUAGUAAUAGCAUUUUCAGUACUUUUCAUAAACUAAGUAAAUACACAAAAUGUUGAUUUUUCUGACCAUAAGACAUAUUUUAUGUCCUUUUGCCAAGGUGGAUGUGUUAGUCUCAGGCCCUCCUGGCCACAUUGCCCAAGUCACACAGGCUUCUGUAUUAUGUAUUUAGAUAAAAUGUGUGAAAAUAUAUUUGAAAAAAAAGUUCAUAAAUAUGCAUUGAUUUUUGUACACAUGGCACCUCUUUUUCAUUUUUAUUUUUAUUUUUUUUUUGGACGAUGUUUUGCUCUGUUGCCCCAGCUGGAGUGCAGUGGCAUGAUAUCUGCUCACUGCAAGCUCUGCCUCCCGGAUUCACACCAUUCUCCUGCCUCAGCCUCUCAGGUAGCUGGGACUACAGGUGCCUGCCACCACACCUGGCUAAUUUUUUGUAUUUUUAGUAGAGACGUGGUUUCACCAUGUUAGCCAGGAUGGUCUCGAACUCCUGACCUCGUGAUCCACCUGCCUCGGCCUCCCAAAGUGUUGGGAUUACGGGCGUGAGCCACCGUACCCGGCCCAUGGCACCUCUCUUAAUUUAUAAAUUGAACUGGAUGUGAAGUAAUAAUGUCAGCUAGUUGAGAUAAGAGGGUUACAGUUCGGCUGGGCGCAGUGGCUCACACCUGUAAUCCUAGCACUUUGGGAGGCUUAGGCGGACUGAUCACCAGGUCAGGAGAUUGAGACCAUCCUGGCUAACAUCAUGAAACCCCAUCUCUACUAAAAAAUACAAAAAAUUAGCUGGGCAUGGCCGGGCGUGGUGGCUCACACCUGUAAUCCCAGCACUUUGGGAGGCCGAGGCAGGCGGAUCACGAGGUCAGGAGAUCAAGACCAUCCUGGCUAACAUGGUGAAACCCCGUCUCUACUAAAAAUACAAAAAAAAAAAAAAAAAUUAGCCAGGUGUGGUGGCAGGCACCUGUAGUCCCAGCUACUCGGGAGGCUGAGGCAGGAGAAUGGUGUGAACCCAGGAGGCGGAGCUUGCAAUGAGCUGAGAUUGCACCACUGCACUCCAGCCUGGGCAACCAAGCGAGACUCCAUCUCAAAAAAAAAAAAAAAAUUAGCUGGGCAUGGUGGCGGGCACCUGUAGUCCCAGCUACUUGGGAGGCUGAGGCAGGAGAAUGGCAUGAACUCAGGAGGCAAAGCUUGCAGUGAGCAGAGACUGUGCCACUGCACUCCAGCCUGGGCAACAGAGCGAGACUCUGUCUCAAAAAAAAAAAAGAAAAGAAAAAGAGGGUUACAGAUCAUUGCACAUGGAAAAUAUUCCCAGCAGUAAACACUUCCAUUAAUGUGAUCUACAGCUUUUAAAAAGGAGCAUCUCAGAAUAAGAUGGUGGUACAAUUUGCUUAUUGAGAAAGGAAAAAAAAAACACACGAGUAUAUUACAAAGGGAAAAGAAGGAAUGUGAUUUCUCAUGAUUGAAAGCUUGAUUUAGAUUGCAUACAGCUUUUGCUACCCAAGACCAAGCGGCUCUGGCAAGACAGGGUGGUUUUCCGAAUGCCAGACCGAGGUGCCUUAUGAAGGCAGCUGCCGAUGGUUCCAGAUGUAGAGAGAUAGGUGAUGCAGGAGGGAAAGCUGGAUUGGAAAAGGGAGAGUUUUGUAGACCGGCUACACUCAUUGUGCCUUUGAAAGAGCAGAGCCGGCAGCCUCUAGUCAUCAUUUGGAUAUACAGGACUGGAGCAUGAAUCUGAUGUAGAGCUACAGAAUGAAGAGCAACAGCAGCUGUUUAAAUACCGAGAAAGUGUGUAGAAUGAAAUUGGACAAGCCAAGCAUGGUGGUUUCAUGCCUUUAGUCCUAGCUACUUCGGAGGCUGAGGUGGGGGAAUUACUUGAGCUCAGCAGUUUGAGUCCAGCCUGGGCCAGAUGUUGAGACCCUGUAUCUUAAGAAAAGAAAAAAAUAAGACCAGGUACAGUAUCUCAUGCCUGUAAUCCCAGCACUUUGGGAGGCCAAGUUGAGAGGACUGCUCGAGUGUAGGAGUUCAAGACCAGACUGGGCAAUAAAGUGAGACCCAUUUCUUUUUUUUUUUUUUUUAACUUCUUAAAUGCACAAAUUUAUUUUUUCUCAACAAACACACAUCUUAAUGCCUUUACAACUUUUAUCUCCCCAAAUAUAUCUUGCUUUUCUUUAUAUGUGCUGUAUACAGAGUUGUUUUCCUUAUAUUUAGUAGUUAUUGCUUUUUUGUGCCCUUUUGCGUCCUGAAUUUACACAUCAGGCAUAGAUCUUGGGACAGGAAAGAGCUGUGAAGCAAAUUCCUGGAAAAUCAAACCCCUUCCAGCAUGGCCAGGUAGCACAGCUGAGCCAGGGAUGAUGGGGCCAUAUUGGGUUUGGCUCUGCCUUGCAGCUGGCAGUCCAAACACUGAGGACAUGCAUAUUUCUGCAGGCCAGUGAGACCCAUUUCUACCAAAAAAAAAAAAAAAAAAUCAAGAAAUUAGCUGGACAUGGUGGCACAUGCCUGUGGCCCCAGUUACAUGGCAUGGCAGGCUGAGGCAGGAAGAUCACUUGAGCCCAGGAGGUGGAGGCUGCAGUGACCCAUAUACAUGCCACUGCACUCCAGCCUGGGCAACAGAGUGAGACCCUCUCUCAAAAACAGAUAAAGUGGACAGAAAAUAGGUUGGUAAGGACUAAUCAUUUAAGGGACAAGCCCCCAGAAGAGUGGCUACUAGAGUGGGAGGAGGAAAAGCAGAAGGAGAAAGAGUUGAAGACAGGCGAGGCUGUGGUCCCAGUGCUGAAUUCUGCCAAGCAGUGACUUGAUUCAUGAACACUCACUGGAUGCUGACUCUGUUGCUCUUCUGAGUGCUGGGGUAGAGGAGAGGAGAGGUGGAGCCCAGUUCUUGCUUUUAGGAGCUUAUGUUCUAGGAAGUUCAAGUAUUUUUUCAGGUAGUAUGAAAUAGCAGGAAGAGGAAGCAGGCUAAAGGGACACAGAGUGAUUGGGGGCUAUUUUAAGUAGAAUGAUAAGGAAGAGCCUGUCUAGAGAGCUAUUUGAACAAUGACCUGACUGAAGGGACAACAGAAAGCAGUGCUGACAUUACAGGUAGCAGGAUGACUGCCAAGACAGAAACGCAUUUCAUAUGUGUUUGAGGAACAAACAGCAAGGUGACCAGCAUGGGGAGAGUGAAGAAUGAGGGAAACCUUGAAUGAGAGUAAAGCAAUUCCAUCUUGGAGGCUAAUCUGCCAUAUUCUGAUUAAUCCCAGUUCCAAGAAUUCAUCUACAAUUUCUAUUUUAUCUUUUUAAAAAUAUUAUUUUUUAUUUUUUAUUUUUUGAGACAGUCUCACUCUGUCUCCCAGGUUGGACUGCAGUGGCACAAUCUCAGCUCACUGCAAACUUCACCUCCUGGGUUCAAGCGAUUCUCCUGCCUCAGCUUCCCGAGUAACUGGGAUUACAGGCGCCUGCCACCAUGCCUGGCUAAUUUUUGUAUUUUUAGUACAGAUGAGGUUUUACCAUGUUGGCCAGGCUGGUCUGGAACUCCUGACCUCAGGUGAUCCGCCCACCUUGGCCUCCCAAAGAGCUGGGAUUACAGGCGUGAGCCACCGUGUCUGGCCAUACACAUCCCUGCCGAAGCCCGCAUUACCCUUCCCCUAUGCUAUAGAAGCCCUGGGUCGGGGGGGUGGGGGUAAUGGCACAGGGAUCCACCAUCUUAUCUUGGUGCCAUCCCUGACUUGGCUUCUGUUCAUAAACGCCUAUUAAAUGUUUCUUUCUGAGAAACUGGAUUUGUCAGCCUCUUUCUUUGGUAUCUCAGGUUCCUUGGCCUUUGCGGGUAGGUUUAUAUAGACCUGCUCAGCACAGGACAGGCAGUUUCUCAAAAAAUUAAAAAUAGAAUUACCAAAUGAUCCAGCAAUAUCACUUCUGGGUAUAUAGCCAAAAUAAUUGAAAGCAAGGUCUCAUAGAAAUAUUUGUACACUGAUAUUUAUAGCAGUGGUAUUCACACUCAUCAAAAGAUGGAUGCAGCCUAAUUGUCCAUAGGCAGAUGAAUUGAUAAAAUGUGGUAUAUACAUACAAUAAAAUAUUCUUCAGCCUUAAAAAGGAAGGAAAUUCUAACACAUGCUACAACAUGGAUGAACAUUGAGGACAUUAUGCUAAGUGAAAUAAGCCAGUUAGAAAAAGACAAAUACUGUGUUCUUUCACUUAUGUGAAGCAUCCAGACUGAGUAAGCAAACUAAUAGAAACAGAAAGUAGAACGGGGGUUGCCAGGGACAUGGGGAAGGGAGAAAAUGGGAAGUUGCUUAGUGGAUAUAGAGUUUUGGUUUUGUCAGAUGAAAAAGUUCUGGAGAUUGGUUGCAUGGCAAUGUGAAUAUACUCUACAUUACCCAACCCAAGGGCUCUCCUUAACCCCUGUUCCGACUGCCACUUAGAAGUGGUUAAGGUAGUAAAUUUUAUGCAUAUUUUACCACAAUUCAAAAUAGAAUUAUUAUUUUUUUAUUAUAAUUUUUUGAGAUCCCUCACUCUGCUGCCCAGGCUGGAGUGCAAUGGCACCGUCUCGGCUCACUGCAACCUCUGC